UUGAUCUCAAAUCAGGUAGGGCUACCCGCUGAACUUAA
rnacentral:rRNA from 1 species